AACCCAAGCCCAUGUACACCCAUGACUUGACCUAAUCUCACAUAUCCUGGGCCCAGACCUGGUCCAUAAAGAGUUGGUCCUUUGAGGCCCACAUAACCUAGACCUCAAGAACCCGAAAGGCCCACAGCCUUUCAACCUAGGGCCCAACUAGCCCUAGAGCCUCCAUGAAGCCCUCAUGAAUGAUGGACCUUGGCCUUAGCCUUGGUCCCCUGGGCC
rnacentral:lncRNA from 1 species